CGUUACCCAUACGGUGGCUGCUGCUGCUGCCGCUGCUGCUGUUGCUGCAAAUACUAUUGCUUCUGCAGCUGCUGUUGAUGUUGCUGCUGUUCUCGCUGUGCCUGCUGCUACUGCUGCUGCUGCUGCUAAUAGUAUUACGGAACGUAAAGGCAUGGAUUACACAGAUUCCCACUUUUAUUCCGUCUGAAGAUUUCAGGAUUCUGAUUUAUGU
rnacentral:lncRNA from 1 species